UUGAUCAAUCGAUGAAUUUAAAAAUUCAUCGAUUGAUCAA
rnacentral:precursor_RNA from 1 species